AGUCAAGUAAUUAAGUGCAUGUGGUGGAUGCCUUGGCAGUCAGAGGCGAUGAAAGACGUGAUAGCCUGCGAAAAGCUCCGGGGAGGCGGCAAAUAUCCUUUGAUCCGGAGAUGUCUGAAUGGGGGAACCCACCUACUUUAAGGUAGGUAUUGCAACAUGAAUACAUAGUGUUGCAAGGCGAACGAGGGGAAGUGAAACAUCUCAGUACCCUUAGGAAAAGAAAUCAAUUGAGAUUCCCUCAGUAGCGGCGAGCGAACGGGGAUCAGCCCAUUAAGUUAUGUGUGUUUUAGUGGAACGCUCUGGGAAGUGCGAACGUAGAGGGUGAUAUUCCCGUACACGAAAGGGCACACAUAAUGAUGACGAGUAGGGCGAGGCACGUGAAACCUUGUCUGAAUAUGGGGGGACCAUCCUCCAAGGCUAAAUACUCCUGACUGACCGAUAGUGAACCAGUACCGUGAGGGAAAGGCGAAAAGAACCCCUGUGAGGGGAGUGAAAUAGAUCCUGAAACCGCAUGCAUACAAGCAGUGGGAGCACCUUCGUGGUGUGACUGCGUACCUUUUGUAUAAUGGGUCAGCGACUUAUAUUCAGUAGCAGGUUAACCGUAUAGGGGAGCCGUAGAGAAAUCGAGUCUUAAUAGGGCGUUUAGUUGCUGGGUAUAGACCCGAAACCAGGCGAUCUAUCCAUGAGCAGGUUGAAGGUUGGGUAACACUAACUGGAGGACCGAACCCACUGUCGUUGAAAAGCCAGGGGAUGACUUGUGGAUAGGGGUGAAAGGCUAAUCAAGCCUGGUGAUAGCUGGUUCUCCCCGAAAGCUAUUUAGGUAGCGCCUCGGACGAAUACCAUAGGGGGUAGAGCACUGUUUCGGCUAGGGGGUCAUCCCGACUUACCAAACCGAUGCAAACUCCGAAUACCUAUGAGUACUAUCCGGGAGACAGACUGCGGGUGCUAACGUCCGUAGUCAAGAGGAAAACAAUCCAGACCGCCAGCUAAGGCCCCAAAAUCAUAGUUAAGUGGGAAACGAUGUGGGAAGGCAUAGACAGCUAGGAGGUUGGCUUAGAAGCAGCCACCCUUUAAAGAAAGCGUAAUAGCUCACUAGUCGAGUCGGCCUGCGCGGAAGAUGUAACGGGGCUAAAACUAUGUGCCGAAGCUGCGGAUUUGACAUUAGUCAAGUGGUAGGGGAGCGUUCUGUAAGCCGAUGAAGGUGUAUUGAGAAGUGCUGGAGGUAUCAGAAGUGCGAAUGCUGACGUGAGUAACGACAAAACGGGUGAAAAACCCGUUCGCCGAAAGACCAAGGGUUCCAGUCCAACGUUAAUCGGGGCUGGGUGAGUCGACCCCUAAGGCGAGGCCGAAAGGCGUAGUCGAUGGGAAAAUGGUUAAUAUUCCAUUACUUCUGUGUAAUGCGAUGAGAGGACGGAGAAGGCUAAAUCAGCCUGGCGUUGGUUGUCCAGGUGAAAGGAUGUAGGCAUGUAUCUUAGGCAAAUCCGGGGUACUCUAUGCUGAGAUCUGAUAGCAAGCUGUACUUGUACAGCGAAGUGGUUGAUGCCAUGCUUCCAGGAAAAGUCUCUAAGCUUCAGUUACACAGGAAUCGUACCCGAAACCGACACAGGUGGUCAGGUCGAGUAGACCAAGGCGCUUGAGAGAACUCUGCUGAAGGAACUAGGCAAAAUGGUACCGUAACUUCGGGAGAAGGUACGCUGUUGUUGGUGAUGGAACUCGCUUCCUGAGCUGACGACAGCCGCAGAAACCAGGCCGCUGCAACUGUUUAUUAAAAACAUAGCACUCUGCAAACACGAAAGUGGACGUAUAGGGUGUGAUGCCUGCCCGGUGCUGGAAGGUUAAUUGAUGGGGUUAGCGUAAGCGAAGCUCUUGAUCGAAGCCCCAGUAAACGGCGGCCGUAACUAUAACGGUCCUAAGGUAGCGAAAUUCCUUGUCGGGUAAGUUCCGACCUGCACGAAUGGCAUAAUGAUGGCGGCGCUGUCUCCAGCAGAGGCUCAGUGAAAUCGAAAUCGCUGUGAAGAUGCAGUGUACCCGCGGCUAGACGGAAAGACCCCGUGAACCUUUACUGCAGCUUGACACUGAACUUUGACCUUACUUGUGUAGGAUAGGUGGGAGGCUUUGAAGCUGGAACGCUAGUUCCAGUGGAGCCGUCCUUGAAAUACCACCCUGGUAAUGUUGAGGUUCUAACUCUGUCCCGUGAUCCGGGACGAGGACCGUGUCUGGUGGGUAGUUUGACUGGGGCGGUCUCCUCCUAAAGAGUAACGGAGGAGUACGAAGGUGCGCUCAGCGUGGUCGGAAAUCACGCGUAGAGUAUAAAGGCAAAAGCGCGCUUAACUGCGAGACCCACAAGUCGAGCAGGUACGAAAGUAGGUCUUAGUGAUCCGGUGGUUCUGUAUGGAAGGGCCAUCGCUCAACGGAUAAAAGGUACUCUGGGGAUAACAGGCUGAUACCGCCCAAGAGUUCAUAUCGACGGCGGUGUUUGGCACCUCGAUGUCGGCUCAUCUCAUCCUGGGGCUGAAGCAGGUCCCAAGGGUAUGGCUGUUCGCCAUUUAAAGAGGUACGCGAGCUGGGUUUAGAACGUCGUGAGACAGUUCGGUCCCUAUCUACCGUGGGCGCUGGAAAUUUGAGAGGAUCUGCUCCUAGUACGAGAGGACCAGAGUGGACGAACCUCUGGUGUACCGGUUGUGACGCCAGUCGCAUCGCCGGGUAGCUAUGUUCGGAAGGGAUAACCGCUGAAAGCAUCUAAGCGGGAAGCCUACCUCAAGAUAAGAUUUCCCUAGGACUUUAUGUCCUCUAAAGAGCCGUUCGAGACUAGGACGUUGAUAGGUUGGAUGUGGAAGCAUAGUGAUAUGUGAAGCUGACCAAUACUAAUUGCUCGUGAGGCUUGACUAU
rnacentral:rRNA from 1 species